GCACAUCCAAGUCCCAAGUCAGCUCUCUGCAAAGCACCACUGAUCACUAUCAGCAUGUUUCUGGACCAGAAGCAUGCUGGAGCUGGCACCAGGGGAGGAAAGUGAAGGCAAGAUGGGCCCACGUGUCCCACACUUCAAUCACAAUGUGCUGCCAAGGCACCGUGGUUUGGGAGCUUGGUCCAGCGAUCCCUUGACUUGAUACAGAGCAGGGACAAGAUCAUUUGAAUGCCUGCAGGAAGCAGCUGUAGGCAUUGCAUGUGAAGAAACAAACCAACUUCCACCUUUCUGUCUUGGAAGCAGCUCACAAGGGGUGGGAGCAGCACUUGGAUCAAGCAGGUGGCUGUGAGGACAGGCAGCCACAUCCCUGAGAGCCCUGAGAAGCCUUGGAAAGCCUUUCCUGAGGGGCUGGAGGAUGUCAGCACAGGCUGCCUAUGGGGGCAGAGAGCCUCAGAUUCCCUGUGUUACUGGCUUCUGGGCAUGGAGUGUUUCCACACAACCCAUAGGGGACACAAUUGCUGCUGGAAAAUGAAGGGGAAAAACGAGUCUUUAAUUUGACCUGCAACAUCAGAGAAUUUGAAAAAUUAUCUUCUUUUGAAGAGCCCUUGUAAAGAAUUGCUUGGACUUUGAAUGAAAAUGAGAAGUAAUUCAAGGCAUAGAUCUGUUAAUCCUGAGAGCCUCAGUGCUACUUCUUCAUACACAUCAGGAAAAUAUGCAAAGUGACAGCAGUCAAUUACAGCAUGGCUGCAAUGAAUCUGUUAUUAGCUCAUGCAAGACACAAUACAAGAAGACUGAUGCAAGAGGAAGGAGUCAGGAAAAAAAGGAGUAUAUCAGUUGCAAAGAAGCAUUGCAAAGAAACAAAUGGUAACAACCAAGUGCUGGGAGCAGCUCAGUUGGGUUAUAACUCUGUCCUCAUCCAAAGCAGUUUGUGAAGAGCGCUAUAAAUUUCCAGUGACGUGAAGGAGGAUUUCAGCAGUGACUUGCCAUCUGUCUUUGUUUCAAUUAAUGGUUUGGCUGCAAGGUAAAACAACAGAAAACAUAGAUUUACUCAGAGUACCCCAGAAAUUCUUUCAUUUCUUUCCCCUCUUUAUAUUUUCAUAUUUCAAGUGUCAUGUACAGUUAAUAAUGUGUCAACACUGCCAUUAAAAACCUCUGGUUCUGUUUUUAUAUAUGUGAAGUGUAAAAAAAUUUGCUUCAUGCCUCAAAUUUGCAGGGUCUUGCUCAUGAGAUCCUGUAAAACAUUUUAUGAAUUCAUAAAAAUGUGUUAGAUUCUGCUCCAGCUCUUGGAUUCAGUCUCUUGAAUCUCUA
rnacentral:lncRNA from 1 species